rnacentral:rRNA from 1 species
UCGAUGAAGAACGCAGCGAAAUGCGAUAAGUAAUGUGAAUUGCAGAAUUCAGUGAAUCAUCGAAUCUUUGAACGCAUCUUGCGCUCCUUGGUAUUCCGAGGAGCAUGCCUGUUUGAGUGUCAUUCAAGUAUCUCAAAAGUUCUUAUGCACUAUGCAAGGAACUUUUGGAUAUUGGGAGUUGCUGGUCACUGAUAAAGUGGUUGGCUCUUCUGAAAAGCAUUAGUUGAGGAGCUCCUUGCACUCUAUUGGUGUGAUAGACUAUCUAUGCCAGGAGAAGCAUUAUGAAGCCUCUGCUGUCUAACAGUCCUAAUUGGACAAUAUGAUAAAAUUGACCUCAAAUCAGGUAGGACUACCCGCUGAACUUAA